rnacentral:rRNA from 1 species
CCUACGGGAGGCUGCAGUGAGGAAUAUUGGUCAAUGGGCGCGAGCCUGAACCAGCCAAGUAGCGUGAAGGAUGACUGCCCUACGGGCUGUAAACUUCUUUUAUAAAGGAAUAAAGUGAGGCACGUGUGCCUUUUUCUAUGUCCUUUAUGAAUAAGGAUCGGCCAACUCUGUGCCAGCAGCCGCGGUAAUACGGAGGAGCCGAGCGUUAUCCGGAGUUAUUGGGUUUAAAGGGAGCGUAGAUGGGUUGUUAAGUCAGUUGUGAAAGUUUGCGGCUCAACCGUAAAAUUGCAAUUGAUACUGGCAGCCUUGAGUACAGUUGGGGUAGGCGGAAUUCGUGGUGUAGCGGUGAAAUGCUUAGAUAUCACGAAGAACUCCGAUUGCGAAGGCAGCUUACUAAACUGCCACUGACAUUGAUGCUCGAAAGUGUGGGUAUCAAACAGGAUUAGAUACCCUUGUAGUC